rnacentral:rRNA from 1 species
CGCGUAGGCGGGGUCGUGGGUCGGCCGUGAAAUCCACCGGCUCAACCGGUGAACUGCGGUCGAAACUACGACUCUUGAGCUCGGUAGAGGAAGGCGGAAUUCCUGGUGUAGCGGUGGAAUGCGUAGAUAUCAGGAGGAACACCGGUAGCGAAGGCGGCCUUCUGGGCCGUAGCUGACGCUGAGGCGCGAAAGCCGGGGAGCGAACAGGAUUAGAUACCCUGGUAGUCC